CGGUAAUGUCUCCUCGCCGUUAUCAAUGGGGGCACUCGGUCAUGCUGUGGGUCAAUAGAAUCAGUACCUUAGACGCGGGUCGUCGCUAGUGUGAUGUGAGGCGGGGUUAGAUGCCCU
rfam:Bacillus azotoformans LMG 9581 contig152, whole genome shotgun sequence.